CCAACAGUAGGUCCACAGUCGUCUAGGGCGACCCGUGCAACCUGAACAGUUAAUCUGUGAUAAUAGGCCUACAGCCCAUAUCAUAGGCCCAUGUUGGCCCACAUGCCCGUGUGGCCUACAUAGCCCAAACAUGGCCUUAGCCGUGCGGUGUACACAGCCUGUCCCACUAACUACCACACUUUUGUACGAUUUUCCCAUGUGGGGCCUACUGGCCUCAUUGGGCCUACACGGGCCAGUUCAGCCCAAAAUGACCCAAUAUCGUUUUGAUCCAUGAAAGCGCUCAUGGCCAUUUCAUCGACCACACAGCCAUGUUUGUUUCACAC
rnacentral:lncRNA from 1 species